UGUGUACAGUGCAGGCCGAAAGUUUGGUAACACCUUCUCAUUCAAUGCAUUUCCGUCAUUUUCAUGACUAUUUACGUUGUAGAUUCUCACUGAAGGCAUCAAAACUAUGAAUACACACAUAUGGAAUUUUGUACUCAACAACAAAGUAGGAAACAACUCUUAAAUAGGUCUUAUAUUUUAAAUUCCUCAAAGUAGCCCCCCUUUGCUUUUUGAUAAUGCUGCAAACCCUUGGUGUUCUCCAAAUGAGCUUAAUGAAGUAGUCACCUGAAAUGGUUUUCAAUUCACAGGUGUGCCUUGUCAAGGUUAAUUAGUGUAAUUUAUUCCCUUAUUAACAAACAAAGCAAAGGGUGGCUACGUUGAAGAAACUA